rnacentral:rRNA from 1 species
CUAGGAAUGGCUUUUGAUACUGGUAGACUUGAGUCUUGUAGAGGGGAGUGGAAUUUCUGGUGUAGCGGUGAAAUGCGUAGAUAUCAGGAGGAACACCAAUUGCGAAGGCAACUUACUGGAACAUAACUGACGCUCAUGUGCGAAAGCGUGGGGAGCAAACAGGAUUAGAUACCCUGGUAGUCCACGCCCUAAACGAUGUCCACUAGCUGUUGGUGCCUUCGACGCAGGCGUAAUGCAGCUAACGCAUUAAGUCCACCGGCUGGGGAGUACGGCCGCAAGGUUAAAACUCAAAUGAAUUGACGG